UACAGAGGGGGCAAGCGUUAUUCGGAAUUAUUGGGCGUAAAGGGCGCGUAGGCGGCCUGACAAGUGGAAGGUGAAAUCCCUCGGCUUAACCGAGGAACUGCCUUCCAAACUGUUUGGCCUGAGUCCGGGAGAGGCGAGUGGAAUUCCCAGUGUAGCGGUGAAAUGCGUAGAUAUCUGGAGGAACACCGGUGGCGAAGGCGGCAUCCUGGACCGGCAUUGACGCUGAGGCGCGAAAGCCAGGGGAGCAAACGGG
rnacentral:rRNA from 1 species